rnacentral:rRNA from 1 species
GAUGAACGCUGGCGGCGUGCCUAAUACAUGCAAGUCGAGCGAACUGACGAGGAGCUUGCUCCUUUGACGUUAGCGGCGGACGGGUGAGUAACACGUGGGUAACCUACCUAUAAGACUGGAAUAACUCCGGGAAACCGGGGCUAAUGCCGGAUAACAUAUCGAACCGCAUGGUUCGAUAGUGAAAGACGGUCUUGCUGUCACUUAUAGAUGGACCCGCGCCGUAUUAGCUAGUUGGUGAGGUAACGGCUCACCAAGGCAACGAUACGUAGCCGACCUGAGAGGGUGAUCGGCCACACUGGAACUGAGACACGGUCCAGACUCCUACGGGAGGCAGCAGUAGGGAAUCUUCCGCAAUGGGCGAAAGCCUGACGGAGCAACGCCGCGUGAGUGAUGAAGGUCUUCGGAUCGUAAAGCUCUGUUGUUAGGGAAGAACAAAUGUGUAAGUAACUGUGCACAUCUUGACGGUACCUAACCAGAAAGCCACGGCUAACUACGUGCCAGCAGCCGCGGUAAUACGUAGGUGGCAAGCGUUAUCCGGAAUUAUUGGGCGUAAAGCGCGCGUAGGCGGAUUUUUAAGUCUGAUGUGAAAGCCCACGGCUCAACCGUGGAGGGUCAUUGGAAACUGGAAAACUUGAGUGCAGAAGAGGAAAGUGGAAUUCCAUGUGUAGCGGUGAAAUGCGCAGAGAUAUGGAGGAACACCAGUGGCGAAGGCGGCUUUCUGGUCUGUAACUGACGCUGAUGUGCGAAAGCGUGGGGAUCAAACAGGAUUAGAUACCCUGGUAGUCCACGCCGUAAACGAUGAGUGCUAAGUGUUAGGGGGUUUCCGCCCCUUAGUGCUGCAGCUAACGCAUUAAGCACUCCGCCUGGGGAGUACGGUCGCAAGACUGAAACUCAAAGGAAUUGACGGGGACCCGCACAAGCGGUGGAGCAUGUGGUUUAAUUCGAAGCAACGCGAAGAACCUUACCAAAUCUUGACAUCAUUUGACCACUCUAGAGAUAGAGUUUUCCUCUUCGGAGGACAAAAUGACAGGUGGUGCAUGGUUGUCGUCAGCUCGUGUCGUGAGAUGUUGGGUUAAGUCCCGCAACGAGCGCAACCCUUGAGCUUAGUUGCCAUCAUUAAGUUGGGCACUCUAAGUUGACUGCCGGUGACAAACCGGAGGAAGGUGGGGAUGACGUCAAAUCAUCAUGCCCCUUAUGAUUUGGGCUACACACGUGCUACAAUGGACAAUACAAAGGGCAGCGAAUCCGCGAGGUCAAGCAAAUCCCAUAAAGUUGUUCUCAGUUCGGAUUGUAGUCUGCA